GGGGAUGUGGGAGGGGGUAGGGCAGUCCCCUUCAGGCAUCGGUUUUUGGGUGGCUCCCGGGGCUCCUUUGGAAGCCCACAGGCCCCAGCCAGCUCUGCAGGCAGGCGAAGGUGUGGAGGAUCCCUCUCCUGAGCAGAAAUGAAUCCUCGGAGGAGACACAGCUGACCUGGGACCUUUCAGAGGGCUGAAGGACAGAGCCUCCUUUUGCCUCACCAGACCCGACUUGGGUGAGGUCAGAAGAUUCAGACAACAGCAGGGAGGGCCGUGGCCAUGGAAACCUGGGUUUCAGUGCUGGAAGAGAGAGAUGUGAAAGGCCAUCUACAAAGAUGUGGAGAAUGGGGACGAGAAGAAAAGGAGGAGAUGACCUCUGGAUUCUGGACAGCCCAGGCCAAGGUGAGUUGGGUUUCUCUUUCUUCUGACAGUGUAGACAUGUUCUCUAAAUCAUCUCUGCCCAACC
rnacentral:lncRNA from 1 species